AACGAACGCUGGCGGCAGGCCUAACACAUGCAAGUCGAACGCCGUAGCAAUACGGAGUGGCAGACGGGUGAGUAACGCGUGGGAACCUUCCCUAUGGUUCGGAAUAGCUCAGGGAAACCUGGGGUAAUAGCGGAUAAGCCCUUCGGGGGAAAGAUUUAUCGCCAUUGGAUGGGCCCGCGUCGGAUUAGCUAGUUGGUGAGGUAACGGCUCACCAAGGCGACGAUCCGUAGCUGGUCUGAGAGGAUGAUCAGCCACACUGGGACUGAGACACGGCCCAGACUCCUACGGGAGGCAGCAGUGGGGAAUAUUGGACAAUGGGCGAAAGCCUGAUCCAGCCAUGCCGCGUGAGUGACGAAGGCCUUAGGGUUGUAAAGCUCUUUUGGCGGGGAAGAUAAUGACGGUACCCGCAGAAUAAGCUCCGGCUAACUUCGUGCCAGCCGCCGCGGUAA
rnacentral:rRNA from 1 species